UGGCGGACGGGUGAGUAACGCGUAGGAAUCUAUCUUUGGGUGGGGGACAACCGUGGGAAACUACGGCUAAUACCGCAUGAGGCCUGAGGGCCAAAGCUUGUGAGAGCGCCUGAGGAGGAGCCUGCGUCCGAUUAGCUAGUUGGUGGGGUAAAGGCCUACCAAGGCUGCGAUCGGUAGCUGGUCUGAGAGGAUGAUCAGCCACACGAGGACUGAGACACGGGCCCG
rnacentral:rRNA from 1 species